GCUGGCUUGCUCCAUGUAAACAACCCCUAAAACUGAACAGACAAUGACAAAAUGUUAUCUCGAUCUUUUGUUAAAAAUAAUAAACAGCAAACAUUAAGAAUAUAUUGAAUACAAAAUAAAUGCACUAAUAUAUAGUACACUUACGUUCCCACUCUUCUUUCGGUAGCUAUAUCUUUUAAACUGAAAUAAACCACAGCUAGAGAAAACUAUCACAUUCAAAAAGAUAAAAAUAACAGUGUAAAUUCUUGAUAUUUUUCCCAUCCACAUUAAAAUUUUUCUAUUUCUAAUUUUCU